rnacentral:tRNA from 1 species
GGCCCUGUCGUCUAACGGUUAGGACAGCGCUCUUUCAAGGCGCAAACACGGGUUCGAUUCCCGUCGGGGUCACAA